rnacentral:rRNA from 1 species
UCUGACCUCGAAUCAGGUAGGACUACCCGCUGAACUUAAGCAUAUCAAUAAGCGGAGGA